rnacentral:rRNA from 1 species
GAUGAACGCUGGCGGUAUGCUUAACACAUGCAAGUCGAACGGACUCUUCGGAGUUAGUGGCGGACGGGUGAGUAACGCGUGAGAAUCUGGCUUUGGGUUCGGGACAACCACUGGAAACGGUGGCUAAUACCGGAUGUGCCGAGAGGUAAAAGAGAAAUUGCCUGAAGAUGAGCUCGCGUCUGAUUAGCUAGUUGGUGAGGUAAAGGCUCACCAAGGCAGCGAUCAGUAGCUGGUCUGAGAGGAUGACCAGCCACACUGGGACUGAGACACGGCCCAGACUCCUACGGGAGGCAGCAGUGGGGAAUUUUCCGCAAUGGGCGAGUGCCUGACGGAGCAAUACCGCGUGAGGGAAGAAGGCUCUUGGGUUGUAAACCUCUUUUCUUAGGGAAGAACAAAAUGACGGUACCUAAGGAAUCAGCAUCGGCUAACUCCGUG